rnacentral:rRNA from 1 species
GACGGAACCGUGCGAACGUUGUUCGGAAUCACUGGGGCUUAAAGGGCGCGUAGGCGGUUGGUCAAGUCAGGGGAUGAAAUCUUUCCGGCUCAACCGGAAAACUGACCUUUGAUAACUGACUGGCUGGAGGGAGAUAGGGGUUGCGGGAACUACCAGUGGAGCGGUGAAAUGCGUUGAUAUCUGGAGGAACACCGGUGGCGAAGGCGGGUCUCUGGGCAACUACUGACGCUGAGGAGACGAAAGCGGU